AGUGAACGCUGGCGGUAGGCCUAACACAUGCAAGUCGAACGGCAGCACAGUAAGAGCUUGCUCUUACGGGUGGCGAGUGGCGGACGGGUGAGGAAUACAUCGGAAUCUACUUUUUCGUGGGGGAUAACGUAGGGAAACUUACGCUAAUACCGCAUACGACCUACGGGUGAAAGCAGGGGAUCUUCGGACCUUGCGCGAUUGAAUGAGCCGAUGUCGGAUUAGCUAGUUGGCGGGGUAAAGGCCCACCAAGGCGACGAUCCGUAGCUGGUCUGAGAGGAUGAUCAGCCACACUGGAACUGAGACACGGUCCAGACUCCUACGGGAGGCAGCAGUGGGGAAUAUUGGACAAUGGGCGCAAGCCUGAUCCAACCAUACCGCGUGGGUGAAGAAGGCCUUCGGGUUGUGAAGCCCUUUUGUUGGGAGAGAAAAGCAGCAGGUUAAUACCCCGCUGUUCUGACGGUACCCAAAGAAUAAGCACCGGCUAACUUCGUG
rnacentral:rRNA from 1 species